GAUGAACGCUGGCGGCGUGCCUAACACAUGCAAGUCGAACGGAGUCCAGCCUUUAAGACCUUCGGGUCAAAGAGGGGAAGACUGAGUGGCGGACGGGUGAGUAACACGUGGGCAACCUGGCUCAUAGAGGGGGAUAACAGAGAGAAAUUUCUGCUAAUACCGCAUAAGCACACACUGCCGCAUGGCAGAGGGUGAAAAGAGAAUCGCUAUGAGAUGGACCCGCGUCUGAUUAGCCAGUUGGCAGGGUAAGAGCCUACCAAAGCGACGAUCAGUAGCCGAUCUGAGAGGAUGAACGGCCACAUUGGGACUGAGACACGGCCCAAACUCCUACGGGAGGCAGCAGUGGGGGAUAUUGCACAAUGGGGGGGACCCUGAUGCAGCGACGCCGCGUGAGUGAAGAAGUAUUUCGGUAUGUAAAGCUCUAUCAGCAGGGAAGAUAAUGACAGUACCUGAAUAAGAAGCCCCGGCUAACUACGUG
rnacentral:rRNA from 1 species